ACUAUCUUGUAGGCAUGAGGUGCCGCUGUUUGAGUCUCAGGCAGCGGAGAAUUGGGAAGCCGGUGAGAGUCCGGCACUGCCCCCGCAACGGUAAAGAAGGAUAGGGCCGGCAAUCAGCCACUGGGACGAGGAUCCCGGGAAGGUGUCGGCACCGGGCGCAAGCCCCUUCCAAGUCCGGAAACCAGCCUCAUGGAUAUGUCAAAC
rnacentral:ncRNA from 2 species